rnacentral:tRNA from 3 species
GCCGGAAUAGCUCAGUCG